rnacentral:misc_RNA from 1 species
GAUGAAGAACGCAGCGAAAUGCGAUAAGUAAUGUGAAUUGCAGAAUUCAGUGAAUCAUCGAAUCUUUGAACGCAUAUUGCGCUCUCUGGUAUUCCGGAGAGCAUGCUUGUUUGAGUAUCAGUAAACACCUCAACUCCCUUUUCUUUUUUGAAAUGGGAGCUGGACUUGAGUGAUCCCAACACUUUUCUCACUGGAAAGUGGCGGGUCACUUGAAAUGCAGGUGCAGCUGGACUUUUCUCUGAGCUAUAAGCAUAUCUAUUUAGUCUGCCUAAAAAACAGAUUAUUACCUUUGCUGCAGCUAACAUAAAGGAGAUGAGUUCUUGUGCUGACUGAUGCAGGAUUCACAGAGACAGCUUUGCGGCUGACUUUGUAAACUCGAUCUCAAAUCAAGUAAGACUACCCGCUGAACUUAAGCAUAUCAAUAAGCGGAGGA